GCCGGGGUGGCGGAAUUGGCAGACGCGCUGGAUUCAGGAUCCAGUGGGAGUACUCCCAUGCGGGUUCAAAUCCCGCCCCCGGCA
rnacentral:tRNA from 1 species